UUUCAAAACAAAAGCACGUCGAAGAAUUUGAUGAUCUAUUUGGCACACCUUGCCAUCAUUACAGCAGGACACACGCUCUUAUUUUGAAAGGCGUCGCUGUUUUCCCGCCCUUCCGCCAUCUUGGCGCAGCCAGCUUGACGCAGCGGAGAGCCAAGCGGAGGCAGAGCGGAUCAAUCUGGAGCUUCGGCGGCUGAUCGGGAUUAUGCGGCUCCGCUGACUGCCGUGUCGAACUGUUUCCUCCUCGGGUCCAGCAGCCGAAGGCGCCUCGGUCUCCAGACGUUAGUCUGCACCUGGUCUGAAUGAGUUGUGUCCAGGGCCCGGCCUAGUUCCUGGUUCUCCUUCACCUCCUGUCAUCUCCCUCCUUCCCCC